rnacentral:RNase_P_RNA from 1 species
GUAAGCUAAAGCGCAGUUUACGGUGAAAAUAUUUUUUUUACUGAGGAAAUUCCACACACCAUAUUGAAACAUGAUGCUCUUAAUUGGCAUACAUCGAGAGUUGUGACCCUGUCGGAGAAACGAUACAAUAGGCUAUAAUUUGGCGAUAAUAGAUGAUGCGAUUGGGCUGAUUAGCCGGACUUUAGUAAUUGAUGAAACGAACAAUCCAUGUGGUGCAAAAGUAAACAUUGUAGUUGUACAAAGGUGACUUGCUUAGAUAAAUGCUGUGUUUGAAACAUGAAGUGGAUUACUCUUAGUAUAC